rnacentral:rRNA from 1 species
UACAGAGGUCUCAAGCGUUUGUUCGGAUUCAUUGGGCGUAAAGGGUGUGUAGGUGGCGCCGUAAGUCGGGGUGUGAAAUCUCGGGGCUUAACUCCGAAACUGCAUUCGAUACUGCCGUGCUUGAGGACUGGAGAGGAGACUGGAAUUUACGGUGUAGCGGUGAAAUGCGUAGAUAUCGUAAGGAAGACCAGUGGCGAAGGCGGGUCUCUGGACAGUUCCUGACGCUGAGGCAACGAAGGCCAGGGGAGCAAACGGG